CUUUAAUCACUACUCCAACGAUGUUUCAAAUUGAGUGGGCUUCCAUCAGCCAGGGUCUCGGAGACAGGACAAAGUGGAAAAGACCUCCCAACUAACAUACCUAGGGCAUUUUGGGGACAGACUCUACUAGUGGCCCCAGGACAUCCUACAAAAGAGGUGAAAUCAGUAUUGGAGAAGUGGUCUCAUGAAGAUGGGAGCACGACUACUACAAUUGACUGCUGACUUCUCACCCAAGGAAAUAACUGUAUCCCAGCCUGAUCUCAGUGGAUAAUCCCACAGAGUUAAGGUCCUCACAACAUUGUGCAACAGGUGUGAAAGAUGUAGUCUCCAUUUACGGCUACUGAAAUAGGCUGAGAGAGGUGUUUUCUCAGAGAUGUUCAAGAAAAACAACAACUUCUGUGGAAGAAGAAGAUAGGAGCCCAGGUCCUGUGUUUCACCAAGACAGCUGUGCAAAGCAGACGCUGCCAAAAAGGUGCAAAGUGGUUUGUCAGCUCUUCUGCAUGUUCUAACAAAUUAGACAUGCAUCCCAAAAGGUUUCCUAGACUUUCCAUCACCACCAGUGAAUUCUGAGUGACAAUAGUGUGGAAUUUGGAAGAAUGGAAGAGAAACUGAAGUAGAGAGAUGGUGAAAGAGAAGAAAAAAUUAAGAAAGAUGCUUGCAAAAAUACUGCUGUGGGUCCUGAGAUGAGGAUUCUGGGAGGGCUGAAACGGAUUCCCCUGACAGCUCCCUUCGAGUUCCUGUUCAUCUGAAGUACACCACCCUUCUAGAUAUGCUGUCACUUUCCUUCUGCAGAGCCACAGUGGUGUCCUGUCUUCUCAGACCUCUUCUCACCUCAAAUCACUUAGGACACGGCCACCAGACAGGGAUGGUCAGCGGGGAGCAGGAUCAUCUUAGACCAUGAGGGAGGAUGAGGUGCUGAGAGCUGGAAGAAUGAAGAGAGAAGUGGCCUGAUGAGGAGGUGGAGGUGUGAGAAGUGACAAAGAGUCUGUGAGGAGAAUGAGGAAGGGCAACCCGAGAAAUCAAGAAAAAUCAGGAGACAAAUCUCCUAGAAGCCAAGAAGAUGGUGGUAAACUAAUAAGUGAUGGGAGCAGUGAAGGAAAAAAAGAACUCGGAGGGCCGGGCACGGUGGCUCACACCUGUAAUCCCAGCACUUUGGGAGUCCGAGGAGGGCGGAUCACGAGGUCAGAAGAUCGAGACAAUCCGGGCUAACAUGGUGAAACCCCGUCUCUACUAAAAAUACAAAAAAUUAGCUGGGCGUGGUGGCACGCGCCUGUAGUCCCAGCUACUCGGGAGGCUGAGGCAGGAGAAUGGCAUGAACCUGGGAGGCGGAGUAUGCAGUGAACCGAGAUCGUGCCACUGCACUCCAGCCUGGGUGACAGAGCAAGAUUCCGUUUCAAAAAAAAAAAAAAAAAAGAACUCGGAGUGUGUUUAUAUUGCUGGCAGAAAGAGUUUGCUUUCAAUUGCCUUGUUAGCACACCUGUGAUCUGACUAAGUUACAUCAGUGGGAGGCACAGGGUGAAAGGAUGCUGGCCUCUGAGACCAACUUCAGUUCUUUGAAUGUUUGAGAAACACUUCAAGUCUUAGCCAAUGGCUUUGGUCAACAAUGGGUGCUUCAUGUUGAGGAUGACGCCCUGAGGGCUUUCACCGCAGAGACAAGCCAACUUGUUCAAAUCCAUUCUCAAAUGGUAAAAUACAGGCAAAGGUACAACAUGCAGAACUACUGCACCAUGAUCAAAACAUGUACUCUUGUCACAUCUAAUGACUUCAGGCCUCCCUUGAACUUUUGAGUUAGCAAAGAAGGGCAAAUAAAGAUGAAACUUGCCUUUCAGUUCUCCCUAUCUGUUUUUUAAUUGUUUCCUCCUUGGUUCCUCUGCAACAGCCCUGCGGUCUCUGUCUGCAUGUUCAGUGGCAUGUGGAGUGACCCACACUUGUCUCAGCAUCUUCAGGGGAGUUGAGAACAGCUUCCCCCAGCCUUCUGUACUUGUCAGGCAUAUGGUGGGGGAGACAUAGCCCUGGCACUCCAACCUCUUCCCUGAUUUAAAGUGUCAAAGCAUUUUGGGAUUCAGGUCUCGGUGUUAAAAACUCUCCAUGAACUCUGAUAAGCUUCAGUGGUAGUCACUACCUUAGGAUGCUGACGAGGAACAACUGCUAUCCUGCCCAUGGUGACGACCUUCGAAAAGCCCAUGAACAGAACUAUUUUGAAGAAGAUUAGGGAAAGGCCGGGUGCAGUGGCUCACGCCGGUAAUUCCCAGCACUUUGGGAGGCCGAGGCAGGCCGAUCAUGAGGUCAGGAGAUCGAGACCAUCCUGGCUAACAUGGUGAAACCCCGUCUCUACUAAAAAUAUAAAAAAUUAGCUGGGCGUGGUGGCAGGUGCCUGUAGUCCCAGCUACUCAGGAGGCUGAGGCAGGAGAAUGGCGUGAACCUGGGAGGUGGAGCUUGCAGUGAGCCGAGAUUGUGCCACUGCACUCCAGCCUGGGUGACAGAGUGAGACUCUGUCUCAAAAAAAAAAAAAAAAAAAAAAAGAAGAUUAGGGAAAAACUAAUCUCUGCUAUUUGCUUAUUCUCUGUCAGAGACACAAGAAUUUGUAUGCAUCUUUUCACCCUCUCCCCCAUCUUCUUGCAGCUAUUUAAAGUAUUUUACAAAGGAGACAUUCCAAGAAGGAGCUGUGACUAAAAGGUAUCCAUAAAAUUCAGAUGUCUUUUGGUACAGCCAUUACAGAAAACAGUAUGGAGGUUUCUAAAGAAAUUAAAAAUAGAACUACCAUAUGAUCCAGCAAUUCCUCUUCUGGGUAUAUACCCAAAGGAGAUAAAAUCACCACCUCGUAAAGAUAUCUGUACUCUCAUGUUCAUUGCAGCAUUAUUCACAGUAGCCAAAAUGUGGAAACAACCCAAACACCCAGUGAUAGAUGAAAGGAUAAAGGAAUUACAGUGUAUAUACAUAUAUAUACACACACACAUAUAUAUACACACACACACCACAGCUGUACCACAAUAUAAAUUUAUAUAUACCAUAACAGAAGCAUAUAUAUAUAUACACCAUAAUAUAAACUUUAGUAUGUGUGUAAAUAAGUAAUAUUGCAUUGUGUGUAUGUAUAUGUGUUUAUGUAUACAACGGAAUAUUAUUUAUUGUUGAAAUAUUAUUCAGUCUUUAAAAAGAGGUCCUGCCAUUUGCCACAAUAUGGUUGAGGCUUGAGGGCAUUAUGCUAAGUAAAAUAAGCCAGACACAGAAAGAAAAAUAUUGCAUGCUCUCUUUUAUGUGUGGAAUAAAAAAAAGAGAAGCUCAAGCUCAAAUACACAGAGAUAGAGAAUGAAACAGCAAUUACCAUGGGUGAGGGGUGGGGAGAAUGGAGAGAUACAGGUCAAAGGAUACAAAAUAGCAGAUACAUAGGAUGAACAAGUCUAGAGAUCAUAUGGUACAUGAAGACUAUAGUUAAUAAAAUUGUAUUGGGGAUUUUUGUUAUAAGUAGAUUUUAGCUGCUUUUGUCACACAUGCGCAAAGUAACUACGUGAGAUGAUAGAUAUGUAUUGGUUUCACUAUAGUAACAAUUUUACUAUCUAUAUGUGUCCCAUAAUAUAUCCGAAGCCUCAGCUAUACAUAAUGAAAUUUAUUAGAUGUAAAGUUCAGGGGGUUCUCCUGGCAUUGACAAAGACCUAAAUAACAAAUGUUUUCUCAUCACUUC